rnacentral:lncRNA from 10 species
GCUAAGUCAACCAGAGUUCACCUGGAUCCCCUCUGCCUCUUCUGUGAUGCUACUUGGGAUCUGUUCUGUUUGGACCUAGCUGCUUGUGAUGCCAUUUGGAGUCUCACUCUGCUGCUCAGGCUGGAGUGCAGUGGUGUGAUCUCGGCUCACUGCAACAUCUGCCUCCCAGGUUCAAGCAAUUCUUCUGCCUAAGCCUCCCAAGUAGCUGGGACUAUAGAAAGUAUAUCUUACAGCUGUGCCAGACCUUGUGGGGGAAAAGAAGUGUGUGGACUCUUCUGCGGGUUAUCUAAGUGGGCCUGUCACCCUGCUUACAGUGCUCAAUGCUGUCUGUGUGAAAACAAGGCUGAAAACACCUGGGUCUCAAGAUAUAACCUUGAAGCAAACUGCAGAAAUUUUUUCCCCUCCUCAGUCUUAAUAUAUAGCUUUGAAACAUACCAAGAGUCUUUGUUCCCCCGCCAUUUCCCACCGUACACUCCCUUACGUCACAUACAUUUAUCUGACUGUAGGCUUGUAUCUAAAUAUGUGCUUACUUAGAAGUUCUAGGGACUAAUUUUGAGACAGAUUACAGGCAUGGAAACCCAGCUGCAAAAUUCCAGAGAUUACCUCAAAGCAGUUAGUCAACAACCCGGCCAUUGUGGGGAUGAUGCCAGCCCAUGCUCCAGGUGGACCAUGACUCAAGAUAGCCACCAGAACGAGACGCACGGACCUGUACCCAGCACCACUCCUUGCAUGCCACCCACUGCAAGUUCCCUUUGUAAGCCCCUCUCCCCAGGCUAAAGUUUGAAAUGGUUCCUUUAAGGCACAAGCCAUGGCCACUUCUCCAGUGCUAGCUCUGGAAUAAAGCUUCUUUCUUUUCACUGCAUC